GGGCGGGGCGAGGCGGGAGGGAGGAGCGCACUGGCCAGUGGUAAAUCAGGUGUCGCUGGGUGACCGCGGGUGGCCUCGGGAGGUCCUGAGGCUAAGGGCACAGGAGACAUUUGGAGAGGUAGGGUUGUCUGGGCGAGCAGGAAUGCUUCAUAAACUGGAGCUCAAGGUCUCUGCGCCACUGGAUUCUGCCUUUCGGAAUAAGGAUGAUGUCACCCAGACGCCCACAGCUCUGACAUGGAAGUGUGGGCCUUCUGCAGACUCAGACCAUCAGAGUGACACACCAAUCAGGCAGCAGAGGACGCCGUCCUCACCCAGGAUCCCAAGGUUAGAAAGUGCUUUUUCAGAAACUUGCACAGUUGCUACACUAAAGAAGAAAGAAAGGGAUAAAGAAGUUGUAAAGAUUUGAAGUUAUUAAAAGAAUUGAAAUAGCAGAGCAUCUUUCAGUCAUUCUUAGCUUGCGCAGCUUUACAGCCUUUGAGUUGCAAUCAUGCCUUCUGAAAUCCAGAUUCAGUUCAGAAAUCGUAUUCAGAAUCAAAUAUGUUUGUUUCCACUUAGUUUGAUUUUUUUUAAAAAAAUGAUUCUUUAGCUUUGCUAUGUAGAGAUAUAAAUUUUGAACAAAUUUUUUUAACUGACUGAAAGAAAAAAUUUCAAGGUAAGAUUUAAGAGCUAAGCAAGAUAAAGAUACUCUGAAAUCAGCUGUGUUACAGAAAUGUCUCUGUAAUUAAAGAGCAUACUCUUGCUGUUGUUACAGUAGACUACAUUAUCUAUAAUGUCUGCCAGUGCUGGAUUUCUGAGUUGACAUCCCUUUCAUUAAUUCAACAACAUGCAGUCAGUCAACAACUAUUCAGUGCACAUAUUGCAUUAGGACUUCGGGAGACACUAAGGAAGCAGCCGUGAGAAGUUGCCUAAUGGAGGGAGAGAGAACAAAGCAAAACGAAGCAUUCAAAGGAAAUGAACUCAGUCUAUCCUAAUAAUUUUAAAGACCCAUUCAUUUUCACUGAGAGCUCUGCAGAGUGUUUCCCAUCUCUCUGUAAUUCUGAUAGUUUCGUCUCCCUCUACACUGGGCUAACCUGAGCCCUCCUUAAAUUGCAUAUGAGGAGAGUCGAUAAGGAAACCUCUGACUGCUGCCAGGAAGUGAGCCAAUGGGCACACUGCUUCCCACUCAUAAAACGCUGAACACAAAUCAGCCUCAGGAAGAGCCAUGACUUUUUUUUAUCCUUCAUUGUCUACUGGGUACCGCAUAUUCUAGAAGGAACUAAAGACAUUUACAUCAUCUCAUCGUACCACUCGAUGUGCAUAGAGACCUAGAUUACUUGAUACUAACUCGGUUUGUGUGCAGGGCCUUUUUGCCUCAACAUACAUAGAUAGACUAGCUGAUUCACAAUGGUCUUUCUCAGCAGCACUCUCCGGUGCCUCCAGGGUUCCAGGCCAGAGACCUCAGCAUCCUCCGCUUACUCUCAGAGCAUUUCUUUACCUCUAGACUGUUGGCUCCUUUGGAGCAGAAACCAUUCUUUGGACCUACGUGUCACCCAGUCACCAAGUGUCAGGAGCCCAGGGCUUAAUACAUGGUAGGAACCUAGCAAAUACUGUUAUGGAGGCGUUAAAGACAAGCCACCUUAGAACAUGGCAAAUGGUCACCUUGCUAACUUCACUCUUAAAUGGCUUCAGAAGGAGCCACUGGCCUACCUUCUUGCAUGCGACAGGAUGUAAAGGUUCUUUGGGGAAGGGCCACCUCGAAGAGCCAUGCUGGAAGAUGCCCUUGAUCACUGGAGACUGGUAACUGAAGAUUCUGUAAACCUGAAAAAGCAAACUCCAAAAUAAUUGUUAUUUUGCUGUAGGCCCACAUCCACACCAUCUCUCUCUUUCUGAGUAGCACCCCUAGAAUUUAAUAUACUCUCAGAUACCUAUUGUUCCUGACACUUCUUCACAGAGUUAGGGUUCUUUGUCUAGAAUGUGUAAUAAGUAUCAUGAUAUGGUUGUUUCUUUGAAUUUUUUUCUUUUGGGAAGAUCCUAGAAAAUUAAUAAAAACUGCAUAGAAAGGAAGAAGGGAAGAAAGAAAGAAAGAAAGAAAGAAAGAAAGAAAGAAAGGAAGGAAGGAAGGAAGGAAGGAAGAAAGAAAGAAAGAAAGAAAGAAA
rnacentral:lncRNA from 1 species